GUGGGGAAUAUUGGGCAAUGGGCGAAAGCCUGACCCAGCAACGCCGCGUGAAGGAAGAAGGCCUUCGGGUUGUAAACUUCUUUUACCAGGGACGAAGGACGUGACGGUACCUGGAGAAAAAGCCACGGCUAACUACGUGCCAGCAGCCGCGGUAAUACGUAGGUGGCAAGCGUUGUCCGGAUUUACUGGGUGUAAAGGGCGUGUAGGCGGAGCUGCAAGUCAGAUGUGAAAUCUAGGGGCUCAACCCCUAAACUGCAUUUGAAACUGUAGCCCUUGAGUAUCGGAGAGGCAAGCGGAAUUCCUAGUGUAGCGGUGAAAUGCGUAGAUAUUAGGAGGAACACCAGUGGCGAAGGCGGCUUGCUGGACGACAACUGACGCUGAGGCGCGAAAGCGUGGGGAGCAAACAGGAUUAGAAACCCUAGUAGUCC
rnacentral:rRNA from 1 species